rnacentral:rRNA from 1 species
UACGUAGGGUGCAAGCGUUGUCCGGAAUUAUUGGGCGUAAAGGGCUCGUAGGCGGUUUGUCGCGUCGGGAGUGAAAUCCACUGGCUUAACUGGUGGCUUGCUUUCGAUACGGGCAGACUGGAGGUAUGCAGGGGAGAACGGAAUUCCUGGUGUAGCGGUGAAAUGCGCAGAUAUCAGGAGGAACACCGGUGGCGAAGGCGGUUCUCUGGGCAUGCCCUGACGCUGAGGAGCGAAAGUGUGGGGAGCGAACAGG